rnacentral:rRNA from 1 species
GGUGAACGCUGGCGGCGUGCCUAACACAUGCAAGUCGAGCGGUGCAGUUUGAACGCUUCGGUGGAAAAGCCUGCAUAGCGGCGGACGGGUGAGGAAAACGUAGGAACGUGCCCCUUGGAGUUGGAUAGCCACGGGAAACUGUGGGUAAACCGACAUAGACUCGAGAGAGUAAAGGCCGAAAGGCGCCAAGGGAGCGGCCUGCGGCCCAUCAGGUAGUUGGUAGUGUAAAGGACUACCAAGCCGACGACGGGUAGCCGGUCUGACGAGGACUGGCCGGCCACAAGGGCACUGAGAGACGGGCCCUACUCCUACGGGAGGCAGCAGUGGGGGAUUUUGGACAAUGGGCGAAAGCCUGAUCCAGCGACGCCGCGUGGAGGACGAAGCCCUUCGGGGUGUAAACUCCUUUUCUCAGGGAAAAAAGGAUGAUGGUACCUGAGGAAUAAGCCCCGGCUAACUACGUG